rnacentral:lncRNA from 1 species
CCUGGCCCUGCACACCAGACAUCAUGGAAAGAAGAGGGAGCGAGCUUGUCCGAGUCAGAAAUGUGAGAGUGGUUUAGCCAUUGCCUCUGUCUCGAGGAUCUCUCAUGUGGCUGCAGUCAAGAUUUGGACCAGGGUGACAGUUAUCUGGAGCUUUGACUGGCAUUGGAGGAUCCACUUUGAAGGUGGCUCACUCACUCGUCUUCCAAGUUGGUGCUGGUUGUUGACAGGGAGUUGCUGCUUAAGUGUCUUCAUGACAUGACAACUGGCUUCCUCCAGAGAGGGUGAUCCAAAAGACCAAAGUGGAAGCAGCAUUGUCCCCAGAAUUCUGACAGCAUGACUUCGGCCAUAUUCUAGUGGUCACAAAGAAAAGCCCUGGUGUCACGAUGAAGGGGAUCCCGCAAGGGUACGAAUCCCAGGAAGUGAGGCUCAUUGGGGGCCAUCUUGAAACAUGGUUACCACAGUGAGGAAUUCAUUUUUGAACUGACUGAAAAAUCACCAGAAAAGUGAUUGAUUUAACCAGAAGAGGUUGGAAAGUUCCUGACUAUGAAAAUUCUAAAAUUCUGUCAUACGAAGACACUUACAUCUUUAACUUGAAAUUUUUCAUUUUUCCUGAUCUACCCAGGCUUGAGAAGCAAAAUUGAUAAUGGUUAGUUGGAGAACUGUAAAAAAAAAAAAAAAAAAAAUUAAAAUGUAAUGUUUGCCCAGUGCUGAGUUGUGGCUGUUCAAGCAAAUCUAUUUCAGAUGUUAAUUUGGGUGAAGUUCCAUUUUUGACAAAUGAAUAUAGUUUUUUCUAGUUUGGGGUUUGUGGUUUCUUUCAGUUCAUAUCUAGUAGGCUUAGUUCUUGAUUACUUUUCUUAAAAAAUGGAUAAAGUAUCUGAUCUUCCCCUAAAGGAAUUUAUACUAUGGCUCAGAAGAGAAGAAAAGAAAAAGGAAAGGUGUAGUUUCACAAAGACGCAUCCUCAGAGCAGCACACUUUUUGGUCAGAGGUGAAUGGUGUCAGUUGGUGGUCAGACGAAGCAGGCUCUCUGAUGUUGCCAGCUUCAAGCACCAAGAAGGAAAUCUCAAAUUCCUCUUACUUCCUAACCACCAGGCAACCGAGGCCCCAUCACAUCAGGAUCCCACUCCUCACUAGAAAAAGCCUUCCAUGAAAGGGGAAAAGAACAAACCACCUCCUGAGAAGGAUCUCAGAUAACAGUCUUACCCCGUGACUUCUGGAGAAAGAAAAAUCUCCAUAGGACGUGGGGGCUUGGGAAUGUGUUUUCCUGAAACAGGAUUCUAAUAACAUACCAGAGCUCAGAUUUCCAGGAUAAUUGAAACCUUUGGUAUUAAUUGGAGAAGGGGAGGGAAUGGGGGAGCUGGGGAAUGCAGAAACUUUUUCCUGCCAUUGCUGGAAAACUUCAUGCUGUGGUUUUGGGGAACAAAUAGCCCAGUGUUUCACUGCUUUGGGUCCGAAGGGUGGAGGGGAGGUGGGCACUGAGUGGGGAGGGAGAUAUGCUCUGUUCAGUCCACCUUUCAGGUUGGCAAGGGACGGCUCAG